AUGUUUGUUCACUCUCCCAUCUUGCAACGCCAUUCUAAAACUCUCAAUACCCCAUCCUCUUUAUUCAUCUUCACUGGAAGAAAAAAAAUAACAAAACCCUUAUUUCAUCUUGUGAUAACCGAACAACAACAACAAAUACCUUAUCUUUCUCCAAUUUCAAACCACAAACUACAUAUUUUCUAUUCAUCUACUUAUUUCAGCGGUUUCGUAAGCAACAACAAGGUACAAUAUCAACAAUCAACAAGAUUUAACAAGCUUUAA